UACGAAGGGGGCUAGCGUUGUCCGGAAUUACUGGGCGUAAAGCGCGCGCAGGCGGCUAUCCAAGUCAGUGGUGAAAGCCCGGAGCUCAACUCCGGAACUGCCAUUGAAACUGUUUAGCUUGAGGAUGAGAGAGGUGAGUGGAAUUCCCGGUGUAGCGGUGAAAUGCGCAGAUAUCAGGAGGACACCGGUGGCGAAGGCGGGUCUCUGGGCCAUAACUGACGCUGAGGAGCGAAAGCGUGGGGAGCGAACAGG
rnacentral:rRNA from 1 species